GGCAGCAAUCUCAUUUCUCAUCAUUUUACUUCUGAGUAAUAGGAAAAGAGUUCUGGUCCAUUAACUCGCCCACUCUCUCCUGGAGGAAGUUAACCAACUCUGCUAAUACAAAGACAUGAGUUUCGUCCAGGUCUUGUAUGAUGAACUUCUUUCCCAAAGCAUUUGACUCAUCCAAGUAGAGCAGAAACUGCUUCAUUGCUGGGUCACAUUCAAUCAGAACGCCCUUCAGAACAUUCACCAUCCUUGCAGCUCUUACAAACGCUGAAAGGUGUGGGUGACAGGAAAGGCUCCUGGUUGGGGUUACAGAUAGAAGCAGAUGAAGCCGUGGCCUUGCGAAAGGCGGCCGGGGCGGAGGUAGACAGGCUCCAACCCGUCCCCAGGCCAAGCCGAGGGCGGCGGACGGGUAGCUCCGGCCCGGCAAGUCCUACCGCUCCCCCCAGCUGCAGCCGCGCAAGUCUCACGCACCCGCUCAGCUAACCAACCCAC
rnacentral:lncRNA from 1 species